CGCCUACGGGUGGCUGCAGUAGGGAAUAUUGGUUAAUGUGCGAAAGCGCGAACCAGCAACGCCGCGUGUGCGAUGAAGGCCUUCGGGUCGUAAAGCACUUUUUGCAGGGAAGAGGAAGGACGGUACCUGCAGAAUAAGUCUCGGCUAACUACGUGCCAGCAGCCGCGGUAAAACGUAGGAGACGAGCGUUAUCCGGAUUUACUGGGCGUAAAGCGCGUGCAGGCGGCAUGGCAAGUUGGAUGUGAAAGCUCCCGGCUUAACUGGGAGAGGUCGUUCAAUACUGCCAGGCUUGAGAGUGGUAGAGGGAAGCGGAAUUCCGGGUGUAGUGGUGAAAUGCGUAGAUAUCCGGAGGAACACCAGUGGCGAAAGCGGCUUCCUGGCCCAUUUCUGACGCUCAGACGCGAAAGCUAGGGUAGCAAACGGGAUUAGAUACCCGAGUAGUC
rnacentral:rRNA from 1 species